GAACUCUUGGAUCAAAGAGAGAGUGGCUAAGGGCCAAUCGAAGAGGAAAAUAUGCUUCUAUUCAACAUGAUGCUAAAUUUCUUCGAGGAAGAAAAAUGUUGCUAGAACUGGAUGAAGAAAAUGCCCAGAACAAGGAUGAAAUGUUGAAUCAAAACGUGGUUUAUAAGCACGAUUAUCACGUUACUAAGAAAAAGAACGAAUCAAAAUAUUUUCUCGAGGCAGCUGAUGAGGUGGCAAAGUUGAUGGUCAAGGACUACGGACAUGGCACGAAGCCUCGACGAAAGCCACCAAUCAACAAUCACGAGCCGAAAGAUUAAGGAAACUAAACUUAUUCCUUAAUUAAACGAUGUAGUCAAUUAAACUUAUUCCUUAACUAAACUUAUCCCACAAGUGAAGUCAUCCCCCCAAAUAUAUAAAUGUAGUGAAACUUGUUAUAGUAUUGUACAUUAUACAUUACCUUUAGUUAUGCAAUAUUAUUCAAACUUGUAACACUAGAUCUUUAAUAUUUUUCGGAAUACAAACGGAAGAACCGUUGAAACAAAGUGAA